rnacentral:rRNA from 1 species
GCCCGUCGCUCCUACCGAUUGGAUGACUCGGUGAAAUCACCGGAUGCUUACGAGCAGAAAGUGAUUAAAUCACGUUAUCUAGAGGAAGGAGAAGUCGUAACAAGGUAACGGUAGGUGAACCUGCCGUUGGAUCAGUUCUAGUUUUAAUAACUAACACCAACUUCUUUUAUUAAACAAAAACCAAUACAAAAUUAAAAACUAACUUCAUCAAAAACCAAGUCUCUAAGCAAUGGAUGUCUUGGCUCCUCACACGAUGAAAAACGUGGCAUAAUGUGUUAAGUAACCGGAGUUGCAAACAUCAUGACAGGUUAA